UGUGUAAUUUAAAAGAGCGACUGGCAGCUCGCAGCCGGCUCGCCUCGGGGCACUGCUGCCUUCAUGGGCAUUUAGAGGGGAAAGAAUCGGCCUAUAACUAAUUGCUUUCAACCCCCCCUCCCAGUAAUACACGGGAAACUUUCCUCUGCACGAACGGCACAUGUCCCCCCACCCCAGGCCUGGGCUUGCGGGGACGGGCACGAUGGGGGCAGUUUUUCUUCGAAAUGAUCUAACUUUGUACGAAGUUGGAAUCACAUGGGCGUGUGUGUGUGUGUGUCUCUCUCUGUGUGUGUUAUUUUAGGGGAUAAUCUGUGCACCUUGGCUAGUGUGUAUCUUGUAGGUCACAAAUAUUCACGGUGUGUGUUGUGUGAUAUUCUGAGGGAUCAUAUUUUCUUGGUGUAUAUUGUGUUUGUGUUAUUAAAAUAUUGAUUAUGCGUGUGUUGCUUUAAAUGACAACCUAUUCAUUGUGGGUGGCUGUGUAACUGUAGGUGAUAAAAUACUCUCUGGGUGUUGUGUAUUUUGUGUGCAUGUUAUUUUAAAGGGGGUGGCAAAGAUCACUACCUGUGUUGUGCAUUGUGUUACUCUAGGUCAUCAAAUAGUCCCUCUCUGUGUAUUGUUUUAGGGGAUCACUGGGACUGUUGUGUGGGUUUGUGUUACGUUGGGUUAUAACAUAUUGACCACGAGUGUUACUUUAGAUCACAGCAUAUUGGCCCUGUGUUGUGUGUGUUAGUUUAUAAAACAAGGGCUGCAAUAUGGUAUGUGGGUGUUCUUUUAGGUUCUCUUCACAGUUGGUGUUGCGUGUGUUAUUUGACAGGAGAGAAUAUUCCCUGGUUGUGUUGUGUGUUACCUUUGUGGGCUCUCUGAGUGUGUGCUUUGUGCGGUUUCUUUUUGUGAAUAAAAUAUUCGCUUGAAAGUUUCUUUGCAUAUUCCACCAAAACUCUGCAGAGGCAGGGCCACGUUGGAGGGGGAGGCUGGAUCGCUUGCUCUGUCCGUAUUGAUUUUUGAUAUUUAUUUAAUUAUUGAGCAGCCAGCCGUCCCUUUGCGUCUGAGUGACCCUUUCCCUGCUGCGGGGCCCACUUGCUCCAGCAAAAUCAGGGGUCCGCAACCUUUCCCAAGUGCUGGGCCAAGUCUUCAUUUGUUCACUCUGAUUUAAGGUUUCGCGUGCCAGUAAUACAUUUUAACAUUUUUAGAAGGUCUCUUUCUAGAAGUCUAUAAUAUAGAACUAAACUAUUGUUGUGUGUAAAAGUAAAUACGGUUUUAAAAUGUUUAAGAAGCUUAAUUUAAAAUUAAAUUAAAAUGCAGAGCCCCCCGGACGGUGGCCAGGACCCGGGCAGUGUGAGUGCCACAGAAAAGCAGCUCACAUGCCAUAGGUUGCCUACCCCUGAAUCUCUCCUCCCUCUGCUCCUUAGUGACUGUGAGGGUCUAUUCUAGGCCUGGGAGCUCCACUGAAAAGAGAGGAGGAGAAAGGGCAAGGACCAAAGGCUCGGUCUGCUCCGGGGUCCCAGCCCCUCAGCUCUCCAGCUGCCCCCCAGAAGGAGGGUGAUGUCAGUGGGGCAGGAGACUAGCAAGACACCCUGCUUGCCUCUCCUUCCGUCUGCCAGUCAGUCCCUCUAGGGCUGGACUUUCCUGUGGCUUUAACCUGAUUCUUGCUUCCCCUUCUUGCAACCCCCACAUCAGGGUCACAUGCUGCCCCCUGCACUGGGUGUGGGUAGGGGCCCACAGAUCUGCACCCACGGGGAGACAGACAAGCCACAGGGACAGGAGGAUCCCUAUGGCUUAGCUGACCACCCAGGAGGCAGUGCCCGGGAGCAGGCUCACCUCCCCUGUCUUAGGUAUCGUGCACAUUGCAGCCGUGUUCCACCUGCCUGUGUCUCUUGGAGAAAGGGGGAGAGAAGCCCCUGGGUUUUGGUCUCGCCUCUUUUACUGGCCUUAGUAUUUCUGGGCAAUUCCUGAGACAGGCCUCAGGUUCCUGCCCCAGGAGCCAGGCGACGGUCGUUCCCCCCCACAUUUUGCAAAUAAGGCAACUGAGUUUGCACAAGGCCGCGUCUGGAAAUAGAACCAAGGGUCUCAGAUGCCAAAGCUACAUCUCAUUGACUCAGCCAUGCUGCCUUUGGGAAGGAAGGUGCCAGAUCUGUGUGCUUGACUUUGCUGGCUACAAUCAUUGCUCUAACCACUAGACCAUGCUCUGCUCACCGCUCCAGGAAGGGAACCCGAGAAGCCUGAUACCCCACCACAGCCAUGCACUGUGUAGCCUGCUGGCAAAGUGUGUGUCCUGUCCCUCUCUGGAGCUGCAGUGGGACAGGCCUGUGGCUGGAAACGAAGGGCCUAGAUUCGCAGACGGCUAUUGAGCCUAGACGGUGUGCGAUCACAUAGUUAAACACAUGCGAGAGGCUGCAGAAUUAAGGCUGCAUGAGUGACAUUAACUGUCGUGCUUCCUCAGUUUCCACUUUCUAACCUUAAAGAUCUUUAACCCAGCAGCUCUUUCCUUCUCUCCAUCCUUCCUCUCCCCAUGCACACGCCUCGCCCCCUAGACAGCCCCUCCUAGGUUAGCACUUGCCAGGGACCAAAUGUCUUGGGGGGCUAGUAGUGGCCUGUCAGUCACCACUAGCCCAGUGCAGCAAGGACAACAAUUGUGCCCAUCGAGUGGGUCUCUCCCACCGUGUCAGGGGACUGAAACAAGCCAGGAGCAGAAGUUCCCACGCAUGCCCGGCAGGGAGCCUCAUUUGGCUUGGGGAGCUGCCAGAAUAUGCCAAACCCCGAUCUGCGCUCUGCCUUCCCGGCGAUGUGGACCUGCCCCAGGUUUGGGCUUUGCAGGGCUCCCCACAGACAGCUCCCUCUGCCCUCGCUCGUGGGCCAGGAGAGUCCCCUCGACGAGCAGCAGCUCUGGGAUUGUCCCUUCCCUGCCAGAGCUCAUCCAAGGCUUGUGUUGCACUAAAAUAGCCCUGGCACCUCUGCCUAGUGCAGCGCUGGCCAGGGCUCUGCAGUGCCGGGCUUGGUUCCGAUCCAGAAGCACGAUGACGCGAUUGCACACGGUCCAGCUCUCUCUCCCUGACUAGGGGCUUCCCUCCACCGAGACCCAGGUUCAUGCCUAUCUCCUCGGACAGCAGCGUGAGCUAGCAGUUAAUGCACCGCGCUCCCAGCUCUGCCACUGGCUCCUGGGGUGUGAUCUCAGGCAAAACACUUCCUCCCCCUCUGCACCUUGGUUUAUCCAUCUGUAAAAUGGGGCAGUGAUAGUCACCUACCUCCACGCGGGGUGGAGAGGGAGAACUCUGAGGCUAAAUUAAUAACUGCAAAGUGCUUUGAGAUCCUCAGCUGGAAGGUGCCUUAGAUGAGCAAUUUAUUAUGAGUGCAAUUGAUUAUUAUUAUUAAUGCAAGGAGCCCCUAGUGUGUGCAAUACGUUCGGCCUGCAGAAGCAAGAAAGCAUGUGACCUGCUGAUUAAUUAUUAUUUAUUAUUAUUUCUGGUUGUGUCCAUCCAGCCCCUGGUUUGCAGACAAGGUAGGACUGUCCCAGCCAGGGGUAACUCUAGAUAAUACCAAGUCCUGCCCUGAGUGCAGGGGACUGGACUAGACGACCUCUCAAGGUCCCUUCCGGUCCUACGAUUCUAUGAACUCUUACCCUGAGUUCCUAAAGCUAUUUCUGAGCAGCGAAUAUUUCCCCGUUGAAAUCCAUCAGAGGCACCAAAUCACAGUCUCUCCCCCGCCCCCCCCCCCAAAAAAAGGAAAGAAAAAUGCUCCUGGGGAAGAUUCCUAUAGCUUAAGGCCAGAGGGACCACUGUAAUCAUCUAGUCUGAUGCCUUCAUAGCACAGGCCAGAGAAUCCACCCAGGGGUUCCUGCAUCGAGCCACGGCAGCUUCAGCUCCCACCUCUGGCCCUUGUGCAGUCAGUGACCAGUGCCUGGGGAGUGUAAAGCACCUGCCAUGCUGGAGGGCAGGAGAAUUGGGCCUCUGGCGUUCGCUCCCUCGUUGGUAUUCCAGUUCUUGGCCUGGGACAGGCUUUUCCUCUGGGUUUACCCCGCAUCAGGGAAUCCAUAUCAGCUGCGCUUUCCUCUUCUGCAGAGGGGUUUGGUCAUGUCUCCCGGAUGCUCGUCUCCGGUCUUGGUCCCACGUUUGGUGUCGCAGAGCUGAGGAGACGCUUGCAGGGUUUCAGAGACGAAUAAAGUGAAGUUCAGGGCCAUAAUCUGCAUUCGGGUGCAAGUCUGGAGGUGCCUGGAUCCCGGGUCCUGGGUGGACCCACCUCUGCUUCUGGGGAAGAUCCAGGGAACUAACCGUGUGCAACCGCUGACCAGGGGAGCCCUGUAUGGGUUUUUAAAACUCCCAGAGAAGGAGGUCGUUGCCCAGCAUCACCCAAGGGGUAGGAGCCAUGGGGGGAAGUAUGUGGUCAAAAGGAAAUGCAGCACCUGUGUGGGGAGCAGUGCGGCUUUGAAUUAGGUGCGUAUGGACGUGUGGAAAGGUGAAAUCGGGCUUUCCCAUGUGUCAUUGCUACAGCUCUCUGAUACUGACCUUGGCCCGGGGAACCACAAGAUCUUGUAGUCUCACUUGAUAAGCCCCCACUUCUGAGCCCCUGGCUCUUGAAUUCUCCCCCACACCCCUUGGCUAGGUCUUUAUCUGGGUGGGGGAGGGACAGGAGAUGUGCUUGGUGGUUGUGCUGUUUUGUCCUCCUUUCACAGCCCAUGUGGGGGCUUAUGUGAAGGGGGUCGGAUGCCGAGCUCCACUCACAUUGAGGCUCUGCUGGUUUACUCCCGCUGGGCCCAUUCAUGCCUUCAGCCCAGGGACACGUGACUUACCCUGACGUCAGGCGGAGGAGCACCAGGUUCCCCCGGGUGUGGGUAUCCGUGAAGAAAAUAGUCCCCUAAGAGGGAGUGCCUUGAAAAACUCACUUCAAAUGAACCUCAGUUGAAUUGUGUUGGAAAAUGACUUGGCAGGGCUGGUGGCUCCGAGCCCAGGUCUGAGAGUGCUGUCUGGCUUGGCUCCAGGGCCCUGCGGGGCUCGGCCUCAGGUAUUCAAAAAGAGGAGCCCUGGUACCUCUUCGCAAGGGGAGGUCAGAGGAGAUGAGACAGCCGCUCAGGCAGUGAAUUCCAGCAGUGAUCUCAGAUCAUGUGCUGAACCAUGAGGGGUAACUAGCUAGGAACUCGUGGGUUGUGUGUGUGGGGGGGAAGGUUGCAACAUACUUUCGAUUCUCCCAUCUGCUGCGCAUUGUUUGGGAAAAACAAUGGGCCCCUUCUUUAAAUGUAACCUUUGCGUGCCCAUGUCAUGUUCUCCCACUGUCUGUGCCCGUUCUCCACCGUGCAGGCCGGGGUCUCGGCCAUGUCUCCCAGCCGUGCCCUCAUGCCCUCAUGCUCUGCAGUGGCUUAGCAGAGAUUUGGCUCCUUCUGUCUGGUCUAAUUUUAAAAGCUGGGUCGGUAAAAAUAGAUCCCCUUUUUAGUGCAGUUUAUGAACCCGGAUACGAGCAGGCAACAGAGCCUGCAGGGAGCUCAGAUCCGGAGCUGGGGAGACGUGGGGUGCAGGGAUGGGUCGGAUCAGUAACAUGGAGAUAGCAGGGUCUUGCACUGCGUGUUUCAGUGUAUGGCUGUAUAUGUGUGUGUCUGUGCAUCGGAGCUAGCUUCCUCUCUCAGCUCCCCCAGGGAAAUUCUAUUGACUUCCGGGGAGUUGGGUCCUCCGGAAUACAUCACAGAUUGUUUAGUUACCCCCUUUGGACACUGUUUGUUUAAAACCAGUGGCCCGAUAUGAUUCUGGUUUACAAACUGCAUCAGUUCCGAUGGACUCACACAGUAUAACUAAGAGCCGACUUGGGCUCCAUACAUGAAAUUAUUAACCCUCAUCUGGGUUACCAAAAUACCCUUCAAUAAUUAAUGUUAGGCAUCUAAUUUUCUUUUCCUCCUUUCUGCGGUUGGUUUAUUUGCAGCAUUUUGCUCAGCCUGGCAAUGAAAACAGACUCCUCAGAUUCUCAUGUGCUGGCACCAUACUGCAAUGUUUGGGCUGCUGAGCUGCAAAGAGCGGGUGGGGAGAUUACAUUAAAAUUAAAAAACCGGCUUCCAAUGACAUUUGGGAGAAAAUCAAGAGAGGAUUUCUAUUAAUCGGCGAUUUUAAUAAACAAAAUCUCAAUGUCGGGCCUGAAUUACCUGACAGUGUCUCUUUAAGGGCGCUGGGAGCUGAUAAACAUGGUCUGUGGCUUUAAUUUAGGGCAUGCUGGUUACAGGAGCAUUCUGGGAGCUGUAGUUCAAAUGGCCUCAGUGACAUCGCUUCCUGGUGUUGCUCACUUUUACUCUUCCCAGAGGCUCUGGCAGUUCGGUUAGUGCUGGUCCCAAGCAGUGAAAUCAGGAUCUGGAUUAGGAAUGUUGGGAGGUUAUAGCUGGGUACUGGAUUCAAAACCUUUGGAAGUGUAGAGGUGACCCGAGGAACAGAGAAAUGCACCGUUUCUUUUGCAUCUAGAUGAUGGCUAAAGAGGGCCUGGAAAUUGUUGUGUGUUCUCUUUGAUUUUUUUCCGUGAGAAGCUCAGGUCCCGUCUAGUGUGGAAUAGUCUGUGCAUAAAUGGAAGUCGGGUUGUUGAGCGAGGGAGAGAUUUGUAGGUGCACGGCUGUAACUAUGCAGGUGCACGUUAAAUCUGCCACCUCCUCGCCCCCAGUGUGGACACAGUUACCUUGGACUGGAAGGGCUAAGACACCUUUACACCCGCACUCACACCAGGGCUUGUGAGAUGUAACAGUCCCGAUGUUGCUCUACUGGGAAAAGUGCCGUGUGGAGAGCAGGCAGUUUAACGCCGAGUUACCCCAGGCUCUGAACCUGGCAUUGCCCCUACCCAGCUCCUGUCCACAAAAAAAACCCUCUCCCCCAAGGGGGGUAGUGUUUGAGCCCUGUGCUGAGCCGCCCAGCCGGAGGGUGGGUCAGAGUUCAGGCUCUGCCCUGACUCAGGCUGGGAAACCGCUUUGCAAUGUGACUGAGGCCAAACCGCUCUGUGCUGCUAGUCCUCCAACGCCUGCCCACAGUCCCCCGCUGUGUCCAGUAGGACAGACGGGUUCUCCCACACUUGGCUGGGAAGGAAUCACCAAGCAGCUCUGCUCACUACAGCAGGGAGCCCCUGGGAUACGUCCUAGCAACACGUGGGGGAAGCGCAGUGCCAGCGAGGGGACAGCCUCUUGGGUAGGGCUUUGCAGCAGGGCUGCUCACACCCAGGCAAGGCUCAGACCCAGGCGCCGAGCACUCCGGAUGCUCUGCGGUGAGAUGGAGCCUUUGGCUUUGGUUUGGUCUGAUUCACCCCCAGUGAACUCCAGCGGUGGAGAAAGCCUUUGCUAAAGACUCAGCACCCUGGGUAGAGAGGGUACAAGACGCAUCCUAACAAGGCCUCCACGUUCUUGCAAUACCGGAUAUUUCGGCACUUCCCACCCCUGCCUGCCUGCCCCGCCCCCAGCAGCAUGCCUAUUAUGCACGGUGCGCGUGAGGUCACGCUGGUGGAGUUGGAGCAGUGCACUCUUCCAAAGGGCGUCCCCUGGCCAGUACCGGACAGAACCAUGUCUGGUUAUCACCCGGUACCGGAGAGGGGACAGAGCAGCCCAAAGGAGACCCCGUCUGGCGUAAAACCGGGCAAGCGGCCAUCCUAUCUCCAGCAAGGCCAGGGACGAUCAGAGCGGAUGUGCCUGAUACUUACCCAGUAAAACCAAGUGCAGUGUGUGUGUGUGGGGCGGGCUUGCCAGGCUUUCUUGAGUGAUCCCUUUAAAAAGGAGGUGGGUCCAUGUGCUAUUUAAAGACCCCAGCCUAAUUCUUCUCCGGUGAGAGAGUUCGAGUCCCCGUCCUCUCCUGUUCCUGGUGCCUUGAACUCCGUUCUGGUGGGCAGUGAUUCCACUGGACUAGCCCAGCGGGUUUACUUCAUUGCAAACCCUGGUGCUGUGAAAGGGAGUUGAAGAUGGGAAUGCUAUUAUCCACGGUAUUCUAGCACUGCAGUGACCCCAACCACUGUGCCCUUUACACACACGUGGUGAGAACGUCCCUACUCCUGGGGGCUCACAAUCUAAACAGACAAAGGGAAACCGAGGCACGGAAAUGUACCUAAGUUCACAAAACAGGUCAGUGGCUGAACCCUUCACAGUACCCCCUUUUCCUGGCUCCUCAGUCUAGUGCCCUAACCCCAAGACGAUGAUGACUUGAGCUCACGUGACUUUAUUCAAACACACAAAAACUUUGGUGACAUUUGCCCUGCCGAUCGCAUCUCAUUGGUGCAUCUCAUUUGUCCGUGCUGUUUCCAUAUAGACCCUGGGGAUGAAAUGCAGCCGCGUGCAGAGUCAGUGCCGGGGCGAUGCAGGGCUCCAGCCCUGGUCUGAGGUCUCGGUGGGGACCUCAGCAGCUCGCUGAAUGCUGGAAUGCACAAUGGGGAAUUUCACCCUGUCGGAACAAGAGGCGAAAACCAAACUCCCUCUCCAAACUUUGGGCAAGGUUUGACCUGGGGCUGAACUUUGUGGCUCAGGUUCCCUCUCUAAUUAUAAGGAGAUCAUCAGAGUCAGGCCCUCUAUUUCUGAUCCCAACAUUUUUUGAACGCACACGCCCACCCCAUGCGUUUUAUAAGCCUGUAAUUUUUCAGCUGGCAGAUCCGGCCUGGCAAACAAGCCACUGGGACUUUCCUUUCUUGGUUUGUGUUGUCACCAGGGAUACGGCCGACUCCCUUGGAGUUGUGGGUAGCUGAUUCUCUGUGUAGCGCCAGAGUAAAUCACUUCAGUUUAUUCUGGGGCUCUCAGCUCUCUCCCGUGUCACGUGGGCUGGGAAUCUUUCCGUCUCACUCAUGGCCAAUGGAUUAAUUUGUCCCUGUUCGUUUCCCUCCCCCUUACCCAGAAGCGCUGGGAUUCUGUCUGUGCGAUGGGGUGUGGACGCCCAGCAGGGCAGCCAGCAGUUGGGGUGGCUUGGCCUGGCACUUGCUUCUCCCCCUUACCCCACCAGAGCCGAGCGUUGGAGGCUGCAGCAGCUCUGGUGUUUGCUGCAUCACCCUCCCAGAGGGGCAUGGGGGCGCAUUUCAGUCAUCUCUGACGUGUCAGGAGCUGGGCUUUCCAGGCCCCUGCCCUUCCCUCCCUCCUUCACUCUCACCCAGCCUAUCGGUUCCCCUCCCCCCGUACACCCCAAAUAGCCCAAGCUGCCCUUGUUUGGCCCAAAUCUCUGAGGACACUCAAUUUUCUUGCCUCUGGUUUGCGCGUCUCCUCCUCUCCUCCAGUACAGCCUAGGCGCUGGAGAGCGAGACUCUGAACCUCUUGCGAUGGUGGUUGCAGUUACACAGGGGGACGGGAACCGAAAGCAGCAGGAGGCCCUGUAAGGCUGGUUGGUGGGGCAGCAGGCUGGAUCCAGGCACUGGCAGAAAUCACCCCUGGAGAGAGACUCCGGAUUUACGCCAACACAACCGAGAUCAGCGCCCGCCCCCUGCCGUGCCCUGAUAACACCCAUCGCCCGGGAUGCUCCCCGGAGCUGCGCGUUUGCGGGUGGAGGACAGGAGUUCACUUCCCUUGUGCUGACCUUCAGUUAUCCUGCAUGGCUGAUCCCUGUCCCCAGGCCUCUGCCAGGGGGGGUCAUGCAGGAAGAGUUCUAUUGGCUUUGUUUUCUUUCCUGGGCCCCGGGGCAGGGCGCUUGGGGAGGGGGCUCUGUGCUGCUGUUUGGUUUGAUGUCUUUGGACUCCCUGAAACACAGAGAGAGGGGCUGGGAUUCUGCCAGCCUGGAGCCAGGCAGUGCACCCAGCAUACUGAGCUGGGGCAAUGCAUGUUACACCGAGGAGCAGGGAUCGCCUCAAAAUUCCUUCCUAGGGCUCUGGAACAAGUAAGGAAGACGCUGGUUUCCUGACGGGCCACUCCAUCGGUUGUGCUGAGCCCGGUUCCAGCUGGCCCAGGAGGGGCUAGUGCGAGGAUGAGUGAGAGCCAUGCAGCUCCCUUCAUCCAUCCUCGCUCUGCCCCCUCCUCACGCCAGAUCAGCUCCCCAUGUCUUGGGCCAGUCGGAGUCAGCACGAAAUACGGGGUGGCCCGUCAGGAAACCAGCGUCUUCCUUAGUUGUUCCAAAGCCCUAGGAAGGAAUUUCGAGGUGCUCCCUGCUCCCCGGGUGUAACACAGAUUGAGCCCAUUUUUGUGGUGUGGAAAAUACUGCGCCGGGGAUUGAUUUAUUGAUCAGCUGUUUCUCUAAAAGUGCAUUAAACCAUGGCUUCCCCGUC